rnacentral:rRNA from 1 species
UACGUAGGGUGCAAGCGUUAAUCGGAAUUACUGGGCGUAAAGCGUGCGCAGGCGGUUCGCUAAGACAGAUGUGAAAUCCCCGGCUUAACCUGGGAACUGCAUUUGUGACUGGCGGGCUAGAGUAUGGCAGAGGGGGGUAGAAUUCCGACGUGUAGCAGUGAAAUGCGUAGAGAUGUGGAGGAAUACCGAUGGCGAAGGCAGCCCCCUGGGCCAAUACUGGACGCUCAU